GUUUUGCAUACCAAAUUCAUUUGCUUCCUUUUUCAUUCAGUGGAAAUGCCUCUCAUAUGGAAAACUUCAACCAAAAUUCUGGUGUACUUUAUUUUUUGCCAUAUCUUGGUCAAUUUGGCUCACAAGGAAUGAAAGGAUAUUUAACAAUAAAGAGAUUCCAAUAUCAUCUCUUUAUGCCCUCAUACUUUUUCGAGUUGCCAUUUGGAGGAAGGCAAGUGAUCCAAAUUUUCCUUUCUCUGGAAAUGACCUGUUAAUCUCCUCAUCUUCGGUUCGUUCUUGGACCAACAAUGGUAGUUCCAAGUCUCUUGUUUCAUGGAACGCUCCACCACCAAACGACUUGAAAUGGAAUGUAGAUGGGUCUUCAAGAGGUAAACCAGGUGCAAGUGCAAUUGGAGGUGUCUUAAGAUAUUUCCUAAGCCAUUUUGUCUGUAUUUUCUUUUGCCCAAUUGGUAUAGAUGAGAGCAAUUCUGCAGAACUAAAAGCAAUUGAGUGAGCACUCUCCCUGCUGGUCUCAAAACCUUCCUUACUGCAUAAUACUGAGUCCGUUUUCCUUGAAUCAGAUUCACAAAACGCUCUAUCUUGGGUGAAGAAUCCUAACUCAGCUCCAUGGCGUCUGUCAUAUAUCAUUAAUUCUGUUCUUGUUAAUCAACAACUGCUUCCUUCUAUUGAUUUCAACUUUAUUCUGCGAGAGGCAAACUUUGUUGCAGACUGCUUAGCAAAACAGGGGAUUUCAAGAAUAGCAAAUUUUAUUGCUUUUUUCUGAUAUUGACUUUGGCAUAUCUAGUUUAUCUCCACUUAGCUGUUGUUGCUUAACCUUCAUGAAGUUGUUGUUGCUGUUAUAGAUCGUCUUUGGCACUUCUGUUGUUCUCUUUUGCAACCUUUUGUCUUUGAUGUUUGGGUAUUACUUUUGUUCUAUGGUUGUUAGUUUUUUUUGUUUUAGAUCAGUUCUUAGUUUUGUAUUGUUUUCUAGGUAUUUUCACUUAGUAUGAACGUCGUAAGUCGGGUGUAUUUGGUUCAAUCUGUUGAUCGGGGUUAGUCGGAUGUUCUCAUAUUAAGUUUUUCCUAAUUUAUUUUCCUAUUAAUAAAAUGAAUUGCUUAUCAAAAAAGAAAAAAGUGAUAAGCAACUUGCCACUGGUAACUCUGAUAAUACUUAACCAGAUUUUUGUCAAAGGUAAAUCAAAACGCUAUGCAAGGAAAAGAACAGAAAAGGAUAGACUCAAUACAAUCUAGUUGGAUUAUGCUAUAUGGGUCAUUUUCUUCCAUUCCAAUUGGUUUAAGGUUACAUCUACAUAAAAAUCU
rnacentral:misc_RNA from 1 species